rnacentral:rRNA from 1 species
CCUACGGGUGGCAGCAGUGAGGAAUAUUGGUCAAUGGACGAGAGUCUGAACCAGCCAAGUAGCGUGAAGGAUGACUGCCCUAUGGGUUGUAAACUUCUUUUAUAUGGGAAUAAAACGUUCCACGUGUGGGAUUUUGUAUGUACCAUAUGAAUAAGGAUCGGCUAACUCCGUGCCAGCAGCCGCGGUAAUACGGAGGAUCCGAGCGUUAUCAGGAUUUAUUGGGUUUAAAGGGAGCGUAGGUGGAUUGUUAAGUCAGUUGUGAAAGUUUGCGGCUCAACCGUAAAAUUGCAGUUGAAACUGGCAGUCUUGAGUACAGUAGAGGUGGGCGGAAUUCGUGGUGUAGCGGUGAAAUGCUUAGAUAUCACGAAGAACUCCGAUUGCGAAGGCAGUUCACUGGACUGCAACUGACACUGAGGCUCGAAAGUGUGGGUAUCAAACAGGAUUAGAUACCCUUGUAGUC